CACACUCAUGAGGAUGGAGGUUUGGGCAGCCAGCACCCACAGAAAAGUUGGGCACAGCACCACACAUCUGUAGCCCGUUGCUGGGGCAGUACAAACAGGAUUUGCACUGGUGUUAAUCUCGAGGGCAGAGGUAACUGGUAUGUGAGAAAGUGUGCAAACACAUUGGGCAACUGCAGGAAGACCUGCCGAAGAGGAGAGCAGCAAACGGAACCUGCAACGGGCAAAUGUCCCAC